rnacentral:rRNA from 1 species
GACGAACGCUGGCGGCGUGCUUAACACAUGCAAGUCGAACGGAAAGGCCCUGCUUUUGUGGGGUGCUCGAGUGGCGAACGGGUGAGUAACACGUGAGUAACCUGCCCUUGACUUUGGGAUAACUUCAGGAAACUGGGGCUAAUACCGGAUAGGAGCUCCUGCUGCAUGGUGGGGGUUGGAAAGUUUCGGCGGUUGGGGAUGGACUCGCGGCGUAUCAGCUUGUUGGUGGGGUAGUGGCUUACCAAGGCUUUGACGGGUAGCCGGCCUGAGAGGGUGACCGGCCACAUUGGAACUGAGAUACGGCCCAGACUCCUACGGGAGGCAGCAGUGGAGUAUAUUGCACAAUGGGCGGAAGCCUGAUGCAGCAACGCCGCGUGCGGGAUGACAGCCUGCGGUUUGUAUACCGCUUUCGCCUGUGACGAAGCGUGAGUGACGGUAAUGGGUAAAUAAGCACCGGCUAACUACGUG